rnacentral:rRNA from 1 species
UACGAAGGGGGCUAGCGUUGCUCGGAAUGACUGGGCGUAAAGGGCGCGUAGGCGGUUUGUACAGUCAGAUGUGAAAUUCCUGGGCUCAACCUGGGGGCUGCAUUUGAUACGUGCGGACUUGAGUGAGGAAGAGGGUCGUGGAAUUCCCAGUGUAGAGGUGAAAUUCGUAGAUAUUGGGAAGAACACCGGUGGCGAAGGCGGCGACCUGGUCCUUGACUGACGCUGAGGCGCGAAAGCGUGGGGAGCAAACGGG